rnacentral:rRNA from 1 species
AAUCAACGCUGGCGGCGUGCCUAACACAUGCAAGUCGCACGAGAAAGGGACUUCGGUCCUGAGUACAGUGGCGCACGGGUGAGUAACACGUGAAUCAUCUACCUUCGAGUGGGGAAUAACUGAGAGAAAUCUUAGCUAAUACCGCAUAAUACCUACGGGUCAAAGCAGCAAUGCGCUUGAAGAGGAGUUCGCGGCAGAUUAGUUAGUUGGCAGGGUAAUGGCCUACCAAGACGAUGAUCUGUAUCCGGCCUGAGAGGGCGCACGGACACACUGGAACUGAAACACGGUCCAGACUCCUACGGGAGGCAGCAGUGGGGAAUUUUGCGCAAUGGGGGAAACCCUGACGCAGCAACGCCGCGUGGAGGAUGAAAUCCCCUGGGAUGUAAACUCUUUCGAUCGGGAAGAUAAUGACGGUACCGAGAGAAGAAGCCCCGGCUAACUUCGUGCCAGCAGCCG